rnacentral:lncRNA from 1 species
GAGAGAGAGAGAGAAUCCAACCUUGUGAAGCCACCUCUUGAUCAGGCCCUAAUUCAUUGAGAUCCAAUCGAUUUGGGUCACUUAGAUUAGACCGAUGAUCAAGCUUAGAUCGAGGUCGGAUCGAGAGUCUCUUUUUCAUUUUAAUUUUUUCUAAUUGAAGGCUAAUAAAAUUUUAAAUUGCUUGUGGUAGAGUUUUCAAUGCUAGAGGAGCACC